AUAUAGCUCAUUACAUUCAGAUAUCACAACCUAUUCAGCCAUUUCUCCCAUUCAUUGUAUUUGUGUUAUUUACAGUUAUUUUGUCAUAACAAAGAAAUCUUCCAUGUAUAUUUUCAUACAUACAUAACUUUUUACCCUCUCAGUGAUGUCCUUAGGGUCUAACCUUAGUAGUGUGAUCUCUAGGUCAAUGAGCAUGAAAAGCUUUAUAGCACCUAAUAUAUUUCCAUUCUUUUUUUUCAAAAAAAAAAUAUCCAUAGGUGUUUUAGCAAUGUAUCAUUAGGCCUAUUGCUCCAUGUUCCUAUCAACAUUUUAUUUAAUCACUUUAACCCAUUUGGUUCUCAGUUAACAUGUAUUACCAAGACCAUAUUUUGCUAGAGCAGUCCUUAGGCAGCAGAAACAACCUGUUGCCAGAAGCAUACUUUUUUCUAAAUCAUGUCUUUCCAGUUUGAUCGUAUGCAGUGGAAUUUUUUCUAGUGCUAAAAGGAUGCAAGAUGACCUUCAUGGUAUGAUGAAUGUUGAAGUAAGACUUUUACAGAAUAUUUUGUUCUCUAGGCCAUCAUUUUCCUACCAGAAACUAUGUUUGGAUUGUUUAUGCUCAGUCUUAGAUCUACUACUAACCUCAACUAGUGGUUUGUUUCUAUUCAUCUCCUUAAAAUCUCUUUUAUUUAUUUGUUUGUUUAUUUUGGGGGUUAGAUUUAUUGGGUUCUGAAAGGGAAAAAUAAGGUCUGCCACUAUUAUUAUUUUGCUACCUAUUUCCAUCUGUAGAUCAUUUAGUUUUUCCUUUAACAAUCAGAGUGCUAUAAUACUUGAUGUAUAUAGGUCCAAUAUUGAUAACGCUUCAUUAUCCAUACUACAUCCACCUCUAACAUGACAUAGUUAUCCAGUUCACUCCUUUCAAUUAUAUCCAUUUAGCCCCAUCUCUGCUAGAAAUCAUGACCACUACUCCUGCCUUCUUUGGAUCAGCUGAGGCAUAGUAUGUUCUCCUUCAUCCCAUUACCUUCACUCUAUGUUUGUCUCUCAUUUUCACUAUUUCUUGUAGACAACAUAGUAUUUGGUCUUGGUUUUUGAUCUUUUGAUUACCCAUUUUCUUCCCAUGUGUGAAUUCAUUCCACUGUACUCAAGGUCAUAGUUACUAGUUGUGUAUUUCAAUCUACUCCAUUCCUCUUUGCUAUUUGUUCCCCUCUUCCUUUCUUUCAUAUUCCUUCUCACAUGUCCAAUUUCCUUUGAUCAAUACCUCUCCUAUUCACAUCCAUUCCCCCCAAAUCCGCCCUUAUCCUCCCCUACUACCCUCCUAUUUCAAUAUUGGCCCAUCUUUCCAAAGACUUUUCCAUUAUAUCUUUCCCCUUACCUUUUAAUUCUUAUUUUGUCUACCCAUCCCUAAAUCCCUUGCUUAUCCUCCAGCUGUGGCCAUCUGAUUCCUGAUCCUUUUAUCCCCUCAUCUUAACCCCAUACCUAUUGAUAUGUACUCCUCUCUGAGUAUCCCUCCCUUUCCUCAUUUUUCUUCACUCUCCCUUCUUUCUCUUAUUCCCUUAGUCCUCCAAAGGGAUUCCCAAUCCCUACCUUAUCCUUCCUCCACCUUUCCCUUCUGUAUCUCUGUACAUUAAGAACAUUUUUACACUUCUAAUUGUGUAUAUUGUUCUCCCUUUAUUCCAGGUCUGAUGAGAGUUGGGUUCUAGUGCUCUCAGAUCUCCAGCAAUUCCAUAGAUGACAUUUUCCCAUACCAAAAUCAGACAAUUUGAACUUUUAGUUUGCUUAUGAUUAGUCUUUCAUUAACUGUAUGUUUCUUAGAGAUCAAAUUUUGUGCUGAGUUUUGGGGUUUUCUCCAGGAAUAAUUGAAACUCCUUUAUUUUGUUAAAUGUCCAUUUUUUCCUUUUAUAAUUAAGAUCAUCUUUAUUGAAUAUGUUAUUCUUGGUUGUAAGCCCAGUUCUUUGCUUUGUAAAAUUCUAUACUCCAUAUCCUGCAUUCUUUUAAUGUUGCAUUUGUAAAAUUGUGUGAUUCUAACUGUAGCUCUAUAGUAUUUAAAUGGAUUUUUCCAAUUACUUGUGUGUAAUUUAUGUUACCCUAAAAACUACAAUUCCUAGUAAAACUAUGAUUCCAAGCACCCUACUGUCUUCCUAUUGUUAUGUCCUGACAUUGUUACAUUUAUUGAGGAAGAUGGGGGGAUUGGAAAAACUGGGGGUGAAGGGAGGUUUGUAGCAGGGUAUGGAGGAGUUGAGGGGAGAGAGGGAAUAUUGCUGCUGGUGAGGCAAAGGAGAGAGAUGCCCCCUGCCGAGAGGAAGCAGCAGGGAUCUGAUAAGGACUGUUUGUCAUUGAAUGAUUGAACUGAGGUUUAGCUCCCUCUAUGCCCAGAAAAGAUAGUCCACUCAUCUGACUGUGAAUUCAAAUAAUAUAAAGUUUAAUAACCAGUUGGGAUUAGAGAGAUAUCAGGAAGGAGGGGCAAGGGAGGUCCCUAAAUAAGGUUGGAGUCUGUCUCAGAUUUUAGAGCUGAAGCCAGGCCCCACAGGCUGGCAGAGGGUUUCUCCCACUCCUGUCUUCUGUGCUAGUUUUGUCAAUUUCAGAAUCUUAGCAGUAUACAGAAAACAAACAAGAACAGUUCUAAUCUUCAGAAGCCUAUGUCUUUGGGUAGAACAGAGUAGAGGUAUUCUACUCCAGACUGGGCUGAAUGAGCUCUUCCCACCUCCAACACCAAGAAGGAAGUUCAGCCCAGAAGAAAGGAAGUGCUAGUCACAAGACACAAUGGUCAAUCUUGUUUCCUUUCCACAACAUAGACAAGAGAUAAAUUCAUUGGAGUUCCAUCUCUCGGUCUCUUUCCUUCCUGUUGGCUUUGGUGGAGUGGGGAUUUUUGAACAGGUAGAAAACUUAGACACGUAGUUCUAUUUUGUCAGAUAAUAAACUUUAUAACAAUAAUACUUAAAGUAUUGCAUAAUUCAUUUAAAUCCUACAUUUAUGGCAACUGGAAGUGGGGUUUUGAACCCUUCAUUCUCUCUGAGUAGAUUAAUUUGAAAAUAAACCUUGUUUCUCCUGCCAUGGCUCUCUCCUCCGCCUUCCUGGGAGCUCUGUUCAGAGCUGCCACCUGUUGCUGCUGAUCCUCACCUCCUGCUGCUAACUCCCUGGGUGGUCCCAGCUGCCUGCUCCUCUUGCUGCUGCUGUUGUUACUGCUGCUGAUUCUGAUUGGAACCACUCUCUGGAGGAGGCUUGGAAAGUAUAAAUCCCUCUUUUCCUUACAUUGCCAACAGCUGAGUGCUUGCUUGCUGCUUGCUUUGGAAGCCUAGCAUAAUGUCACAGCAUUGGAUAUAAAAGUCCAUAGACAAGUGGACACUGUUUAGGGAACAUGCUGAAUUCCUGAAUGUUUGUUUUAUUAUUGCUUUUCUUUUUAUUUUAAUAGAAAGCAUUGUUUUUUCUUCCUCUCUUUCUUAUUUCUUGUACUCAAAGUACAUAUUAUUAAUAUUAACCAUUUUAUUUUGGAGUAAUGUAAGUUUAAAAUAUACAUUUGCUUUAAUAUUAAUGCAUACCCAAAAGCUUUAGACUGUGGAAACCUGCUAUUUAUUGAUAACAUUUCAUUGUUAAUAUUGAUUAACAUUUUAAGGGAUUGUGAUUAAUGAUUGUGUAUGAUUCCAGGAGAAGGGAACAAAAGAGCCAUGGUUAUGCCAAGGAGAACACAAAGAACAAUCUUUAUAGUGCCUAUGAGCAGAAGGUCAAGAAGACCAAACCAAUCCUGGUGGGAUUGAUGAGAAUUUGUGCCAAAAAAGAGGACUCAUUUGAGGUUUGAGGUUGCAGUUGUUUGACAUAGGUCAGAUGCAUACCUUCCCCUUCCCACAUUUGGACAAGUACCAAAGUUUGGCUAUCAUCCUGGCUCCCCUAUCCCUGAGAGUGAAGGUAAAAUCAGGCCAGGGAAUGGCACUUCAGUUUACACAAAAAUGUAGUCCUUUUUUCUCUUUAUAGUAUGGCAACUUAUUGUAGUGCUGACUGAUAAUGGGUAAGUGCAAUAUUGCUGCAUUUUUGUCUUAUAGACUACUGGGACACAAUUUGUUUUGAUUGGACCCUAAUACAAAGUUAUGAAUUAGAACUUGCUGCCUCUGUCAGAAGCAGCUGGUGAACCCACAUUAACCAUGACACCACCACCUUUGAAGAUGAACGACGUUGACGUCUUGCUGCUGCACGUGAACACCGACACCAGGCCACAACCUCACCUCCCAUAACAACUGGCGUCCCAUGCCCCAUGUGCCACAAACUGAGCCUCAGUCUUUGGACUCCAAAGCCACAUGAGGGUACACCGUAGAUGAAACUUCACAAAGACAAUAGUAAUUCUUGGUCACCAAGAGACUACCACUAACUCAGAAAUUUAUAUAUGCAGAUUUUUGAUAUUUUGAUUCUGAUUUUGAAUUUUUUCUUUCUCUAAAAAGCUUAAUUUUUUUCUUCUAUUUGUUUUUCUUUUUAUGUUUUUGGUUUUCUUUUGAUAAUUGACUCAUAUGCCCAAUAACUCAACCAUGUAUCCUGAGCUGACUUGGAUGUUGGUCAACACCCUCUUCGGGGGGGGAACUAUAUUUUCAUAAAAAUCUAAGAUUGAAAAUUUUGUUUGAGAAAAAUUUCAGGAAAAGAAGCUUGCAAACUCCUUAAAUCCAGAAAAAUGAAUUUUUUGGAGAAAGAUGUCUGAAAAAAAACCCUACACUGCAUCAGGAAGAUCCAAAAUGAACUUUGGGACACAAUUGAUAGAACUGAAAUGAGUUGGACACAUUUAUUUUGAAUGUCAACUUUUAUGCAAAAGGGGAUUGUACCCUAAUUGGAUUUUUGUCAAUAGACCUAGCAAUCAUUGGUUUUGUUCUCUUUCCCUAUUAUUCCCAAAAUUAUUAUAAUUUUCAAGGUAGUUAUGGAGACUAGUCUUCCAAAGGAUCUCAGGGGGAAACUGUAAUUUGAAUCUGUUACUUUUAAAACUACAAUUCCCAGCAAAACUAUGAUUCUCAGCAAAACUAUGAUUCCAAGAACCCCACUCUCUUCCUGUCAUUACAUGAUGAUGUAGACAGGACAUAAAUUCGGUAGAAUUUUGUCUCUUGGCCUCUUUCCUUCUGGGUGGUGGCUUUGGUGGAGUUGGGAUUUUUGAGCAAGUAGAAAACUUAGUCAAAUGGUUCUAUUUUGUCAGAUAGCAAGUUUAUAGAAAAUAAUACUUAAAGUAUUGCACAAUUAUUUAAAAUCUUACACUUGUAGUAUUUUUUCUUUAAUGUGGGCCUUAAUGAACUUAGCAAUGGUGUUCCUGUUCAUUUUCAUCUUUGGGUCACCUUAAGGUGGUGAUUGGUAGAUUUUUUCAAUUUUUAUUUUACUCUGCAUUUCUAGAAUUUCUAGACAGUUUACCUUGAUGAUUUCUUGGAUUAUGAAGCAUAAUCUCUUCUUAUAUUGUCUCUUCUUGAUCUAUUUUCCAGGUCAGUUGUUUUUGUAAUGUAUAGUUAGAAAUAUCUUGAACCCCUAAAGCUACAUUACCCAGAAUGCCUUUCCCUUUGUGCACAUUUGUGUCUUCAUGUAAUUGUUUAUAAAUUCUGUAGCUCCUCCCUAUUGUUUUCUUCUCCUGUGACCCAAGCUGAGUUAGGUAGUUUUUUUCUUUAGUUAUUACUAAUAAAACAUUAAAACAUAAUAAUUAGUUAUUGGAUAUCAAUUUUAAUCAUUACAUUUAUGGUGACCAGAUGGAAUAGAAUUCUAAAUAAUUUUUUAAGUCUUUAAGAAAAGAAUAGAUAGUAUGGAUAAGUUUUGCAAGCACCUGCUUCUGCUGCUUUCUGGCUCCCAUGCCACCCCCUCCACCUGUCUCCCACUGACACUUCUUGAAUCCAUCAACUUGAGCCAGCAUUUUUCUCCACUCCCCACUAGCCAUGACUGGAUCCACUCCUGAGAGUCUGCCAAUCUGAGCCAUUUGGUUUUUUUCACAGAGGGCAAGACCCCCAAUCCCUUUGAUCCCAUUGCUCACCCCAUGUGGGUUUUACAGCCUAUCCUAGCAAUUAUCAGCAAGGGAAACACAGUGUGGAAUAGAAAAAUCCAUGCUAUUCAGCCCCAACACUUCCUAGUUUCUAAGACAAAGUCUUAAACUAACCCUGGGCUCUUGGCUGAGAGAGACUUACAACUCAGGGGGACUAUUCUACCAUUUAUUUUGAGGGCAAAUAGACAAAAAAAUCAGUAGAUUUGAAGUCAGUUUUGGAAAAUGUCUGUUUUCCUUUCACUCUCCUGACUCAAAACAUGAGGGUAUUUAAAAUUUUUAUUUAAAAAAGGUAGUCUUUCAUAUGCAAAUACCCUAUUUUCUUCCCCAGUAGUUUUGUCCUUUCUGUUUACUCUCUAAACAAACCCCAUUCAGCAACUUUUUCAGGAAAAAUGCUAUUGCAAAACAUGUUCGAAACCCUGUAGUUUAUAGUGCUAAAGUACAUUUUGGCUCUGCUUGAUUUUCUUACUAGCUGUUUGUACUUUUAUUGGCUAUUUCCCAUUUUGCUUAUUUCUCCUCAAGAAUGCGCAACAAGAUAGAUGUUUAAAAUAGAGAGCAAACUGAAAUAUUUUGACAACGUUUUGAAAAUCUUAAAUACUCUCAAAAUGUAGAAUGGAAAUUCUGCUCAAUGAUUGUAUGAUGAAAUCGAGAUGGGUUACAAAAGAAAUGGAACUGGAUGAUACAUACUGGGUAGAGGAAUGCAUCUUUAAGAUAUAUUGGAGUUUAUUGCUUGCUAACUAUUUUGAAUUUAUUCCCCUCCAUAAUAGUAAACAAGUUUAUUGGAAUUGGAGAAAAGGAUUUUAGAAUUCACUCCCUGUAUCCUCUCAAACUUUAUUGUAAUUUCCUGACUGCUUUAAGUUUUAAUUUUGUUUCCUUUAAGUUCAUCUAUUAAUCUAAUCAAUAUAUUCCUUUACAUUUUUUUGAUUUGUACCUUUCCCCUAUGACUAUACUGAAGAAUAUCAUUGUAAAAGCCCAUGAACAUCUUGCCCAAACCUUGUCUGUAGAUUCAUCAAGAUCAUCCAAUCUUUCAGUUUGAAGGUUUGCAUAUAUAUAUGUAUAGAUAGAUAUAGAUAUAGAUAUAAAUAUAGAUAUAGAUGUGUGUGUGUAUAUACACAUAUAUAUUAUAAAGAAUGUUGUAUUCAAGGUAGAGAACCAAAUAGAUGUUCCUACCAGAGAAAAAAGUUUUACAUAAAGCAGGAAGCCAAAAGGAACUUCUGGAAGUAUGAGUCUACUUCCACCAGAACAAUAAAGAUUUCUUGGUCAUGUUGUAGACCCCAAAAGCUUUCCCUCAACAAUACAGAGAUUUGUGGUUUUUCUAGACUCUUCUGCCAAAUUUUGAAAACAUGACAGUAAUAGACUUUGUUAAAAAUAUCUUUGCCAAGAUUGAAAGAUUUGCUACAUCUGUAAAAAUAGUGACAAGUAUCCAUCAGUUUAGAAGUUGUUUUAAAUGUCAUACAGUAAGUCAUGUGAAUCCUAUAUAAUUGUGGUUUUGUUUGCUAUUGACAUUAACUGGGCUAUUGGGAAUUUUGGAGAUUUGGGUCCUGUUCCUUAUAAAAAAAAACUGUUACUUUGUGAAAAUCAUUUGCACUCACACAGUGGUUCAUGGCCAAGUUAAAAAGGAAAUGGAUCUCAUUUUUGGGUAAUGAACCUUUGAAUUCUAUCUCUCUUUGGCUGACACAGUGUGUCACUGAUUGUAAGCUAUAUAUUUUUAAUUUAAAAAUUUUUGUAUUAUUGUUUUUCUUGGCAUGUGCAAUAGUAUUUAAGUUUUAUCUUUUUUCUCUCCUUUUUGUAUUUGAAGCAUAUGUUAAUGGUAUUGAGAAGAUUUUCUUUAACUUUGUUUUUGAUUUUGAAGUAAUAUACCCUUAAAAAACAUUUGUUCUUAUAUUAAUAUAUACCCCCCAAAAGCUUUAGACUAUAAAAAUGAUGCCAUUAACUGUUUAAAAAUUAUGGAACUUUGCUUAAUGAUUCUGUAUGAUUCUGGAAGAAGGGAAGACAAAAAAAGCCAUUGCACAGUGCCAAAGAAGCACAAAACUAUCCUGCAUAGUGCCAAUGGAACAUAAGGUCAAAGAGACUAACCAAUCCCAGUAAGAUUGAUGAAAUUUUGAGCCAAGACAAGAGAAUUUGAAUUUAGUUGGGGUUUAAGGUUGUGGCUAUUUGACAUAUGUCAGAAGCAAGACUUCCCUGAGCUCUAUCAAGCAUCUUACUUUGUCUCCUACCUGAUUACCAUAAUCUGGUCCCUUUUCUGUCUUUCAUAGUGUAGCAAACUUUCUGUAGUCCUGGCUACUGAUUGGGUAACUGGAUAAUUACAUAAAUCACUUUAAUUAGUCCCUGAUUCAAGGAUCUGUUAUAGGUUUAUUUUUCCUUUACUUACAUUUUGUAGUAAUAAGAUUUUGAUAUUUUAUAUUUCACCCACAAGUUAUUUUUCUCUUUUAUUUGGAUUUUUAAAUUUUUUUUAUCUCUUUUACCAAAUAAUUCCUAUACUUCAUAACUCAUCCAUGCAUCCCUGAGUGAUCUUUGUGUUUCUUAUUAUUAUACUCAGGGAGGACUAUGUUAUUGUUGUGAACUUUGAUUUGAAUUUGAACCUAAUUUAUAACAAGAGGCUACCUCCCAGCAUCCAAAAGACAAACUGUUUGGAGAAGGUGCCAUGACGAUGCCUUCAGAGACCACACACUGCAUCAGAAGAUCUAGAGAUAACUUUAAAAUAUGGCAAAUUUGAAAUGGUGGGGGUUUUGAAUGUAUUUAUUUUGAAUGUAUACUUUUAUGCCAAAGGGAACUGACCCCAAAUUGGCUUCUUCUUGGUGUAGCAAUCAUUCAUUGUUUUUUCCCUUCCUUUUAUUCCUCAAAUUAUUGCACAUUAUAAGUUAGUUAUGUUUAAGUGAUCUCUUUGGGGAGACUGGUCUCCCAAAGGAGCACAGGGAAUAUUAUAUAGUUAAAAAGCUCUUGAACCCCUAAAAUUACAUUACCUAAAAUUCCUUUCUGUAUUACCUAGAAUGCCUUUCCCUUUGUUUACAUUUGCAUCAUCACAUAAUUAUUUAUAAGUUCUGUAGCUCCUCCCUAUUGCUCUCUUCUCUUGUGACCUGAACUGAGUUAGGUCAUUUUUUUUCUUCCUUUAGUUAUUAUUAAUAAAACUUUUAAAAUAAAAUAAUUAUUCAAUAUAAAAUUUAAUCAUUACAGUGAUAAGAUGUUUUAUAUUCCCUUCAAUUAUUUUGUUCCUUUUAUUUUGCUUUAUUAUUUCUUGUUGUCUUUGGAAAUCAUUAGCUUCCCCUUGACUAAUUCUAGUUCUUAAUGCAGUCAAGUCUUGGUACUUGACAGUUUCAGAACUCAUCAGAUUUGGUAUUCAGCAUAUUUUGAUGAGAAAAAAUGUUGUUGUGGUAUUCGAUGUUUGCUUGUAUAUAAUUGAAAAUCCAGUACUCUAAAAAAGAAUUACAUUUCCUGGGAACCCACUGACUUCCUGUCAUUACAUACUUCCUGUAGACAGAGGAUAUUAGCAAGUGGGUGGUCCUCUUGGGCCUUUUUCUUUGACUUCCUGUCAAUAUGGUGACAAUGGUGAAUGGGGAUGUUGAAAUGGGCUAAUCAACCAUCGGCAUGUGGUCUUUAUUUUGUAUCCUCUUCAUUCCUUGAUUUCUAAUGAUUAUUUAAUAGAUCUCCUAAAAUAUAAUAUUUAUAUUUGAGAUUAAUUUUAAUUUUUAAACUUGGUAUUUGAUAUACUUGCUAGAAGUUGUUGGAGUCAUGAUAUUUGGAAGCCUAUGCUCUCUCUAGCCAAAAAAAUAGGAAUGUGUUGAUUCAGGAUCAUAAAGAAGGGCUAAACACUGAGGAACUACAGGAAUUUCAAAGGGGGGCAGCAACAGCUAGUGGUGGGGAGUUUUCUUCAGGUGAGGCAAAAAAGGAUAUCCCCACUUUAUUAAUCAAGGAAAUGUGUGUGAAAUUACUGGAAGUAAAAAAAAAACAAAAAACAAAAAAAAACCUUUGUUGAAAAAUAUUACCCUGACAAAGCUUUAACAAAUAGAAUUAUGAUUUUUUAAUCACUAGAUUGUCACUUUAGAGAAAUUUUGAAAUAUAGACAAAAAACAACAUUGGAUAAGUUUCUUGUAAAAGUUAUUCCCAGUGACUUUCAAGCAGAGUUCAAUGGUGAUAACAGACAGAAAAGAGAAAGAAAGAACUCCAGAAAGGUAGUUGCCCUCAGAUAUUAUGGAAGGAAACUACUUUUCCAAAUAAUACUAUUUUUCUCCCCAUCAACCUCUAAAGCCAUGAACUUUUCUCAAUUCAGUUAAAGUGAAGUUUAAAGUUCUUUUAUUUAACCUUGUUGUCUUUUGAAAAUUUGUCUAUGUUUUAUUAAUGUUUAUUUAGUAAAAUAAAACUCCAUUAAUGUAUAUAAUGCCUUAAAAUAGGUAUCCUAGGUACCUGGAAUGAAUUAAAUUUACAUCAUUCCUUAUGGGAAAAAUUAAUUUGGAACUCAACCUUUUUGGUAUUUGAUAUGCUUUUUGGAAUGAAUUAAUGAUUGGUACUAAGGUAUCACUGUACAUUAUUUUCUUCUGUAAAUUUCUGGAUCUCUUUUUUUUUCCAUUUGGAUGAUCUUUAAUAAUUAUUUUUAAACCCUUACCUUCCUCUUCAGAAUAAAUACCAUGUAUUGGUUCCAAGUGUGAAUCUUAAAACUAUUCAGACUCUACUUUAGAAGAUUUGAUUAAGCUAUUCCCCAUUUUUAACAAUGAUGGUCCUUGAUCAGGAAUAUAUUGAGAACUUUUUAAAUUACUCUACCCUACUCAGAAAGUGCCUUAGGGGAAGAUAAAGUUGCAAACUCCUGAUUGAACAAUGAAAAGUCCCUAACUCAUACUUAUAGUAAAGCUAGAACCUUAAGCUAGAUCUAUUUUUAGAUCUAAUACAAAAGGGUAUUAACUACCUAUAAAGGUUAAAUUAGUACCUUACAAAAGGCAAGUUUAACAAAGAGGUGUGAAGUACUCAGAGGAUUUUAUCUAACCAGAGAAGGUGAGAACCAAAGAAGAUGAGAACUAAGAAGUGGCAGUCCUGGGGAAAAGUGUCUACUGUGAUUGGUAGACAUGAAUAUUUAGGGGAGGGGACAUAAGAGAAAAUUUCUUUAAAAAGGAAGGGGGAAAGGUAAUUGAGUAGUUGGAGUUCGGAGUUGAAGUGAGGAGAUUUUGAAUGGAGAUCACAAUUGAAUUCAGUGUAGAGUUAGACUAUGAACUAAGUUCAGGAGAUUCAGUGGAGGAAUGGAGCUUGCUUGGACAUGAUCUUGUGGUGAGUGAUAAAGACUGACUCGCUCUCCCUUAGGCUCAGGCCUAGGCUAGGCCCUUUUCUACUGCUUGGCUAUUCUCUCUCUCUCUUUCUCUUUCUCUCUCCUUCCCUUAAUUCCUUCAUUUAUAUUAAUUAAAAUCUCCAUAAAUCCCAGCUGACUUGGGUAUUUUUCAUAUUGGGAAUUUCCCAUGGUGACCACUUAUUUAAGAUUUUAAGUCAAAACACUAAAAAUUAUCCUUUAUAGUUUGGCCAAACCCUUUAGUAGUUUAUUCUUUACAGUUUUAACAUUCACACAAGGCAGAAGAGUGGUAAGGGCUAUGUAAUGGGGGUUAAGUGACUUGCUCAGGGUCACACAGCUAGGAAGUGUCUGAGAACAGAUUUGAACCCAGGACCUCCUGUCUCUAGGUCUGACUUUCAAUCAACUGAGCUACCCAGCUGCCCCCUUUUAAUAAUUUUCUUGAUUUUCUUGCAAUGCUUUUUUCCCCCCUCCCUUUUCCCUCAACCUUUCAUCAUUUGGUUUUUGAAGUCUUCUUAAAACUCUUACAAAAGCUCUUUUUGAACUUGUGUUUCUUUACUAUUUUUGAAGUAGGUGUGUUUAUUUCACUGUCUCCAGAAUUUGAACUGAGAUUUUCUCUGUCUCUAUAAUAGCUAUCAAUAUUUGGGUUCUUUCUCAUUUGCUUGCUCAUUUUUAUUUAUUCAUUUAUUCUUAAAUUUUAGCAGCCAGGCCAAUGGACUAAUUUUUUUUCUGGAGUCCUAGGGUUCCUAGCAUGAUGAUAUAUGUUAUUUCAGGUUUCAGGAAUUUUUUUGUGUGUGGGUUUAUAUUCUCCUGGGUUCUAUUUAGUUAUUAUAUUUUUUAUAGUCCAGAGUAGAGAUGUACUCCCAAUUCCCUCCUCAAGCCUCAGUCCCUGAUUGAUCUCAGGUGCUCCAACCAGAACCCUCAGGCAAUUCUGCUUCUACAACAUUGUGCAGCCAAUCUGCCUCCCACUGUGGUAGCAAUCAAGAACUCCACUUUCCAGGGAGUAACCACAGCUGAUGGGCCCAAUCCCUCUGCAAACACAUUCACUAGUACAUGCUCCUUUUUCACUCCUACCAUGGCAACCUGAGUCCAGUAUGUAUCUCAGGCCUCCAAUGUCCCUUAUUUGUUAGCAAUAAGGCUUGAGUUCUUGCUUUUAUUGCCUGGUGCCCAGGGAUUCUAAGGUGUCUGUUCCUUCAUUGCUGAGCUGUAGGCUAGUCAGUCUUCAUGGCCAAGGUGGAAGUGGACACAGCUUCUACCAAGGUCCUCUGCCUAAAGAUUCAAAUCUCAGUAGCAUCAUGAGGGAUCCAAGCUCAGCAAACAAGGCGAGGUUGCUGAUCCCUUUCCCUAGGGCUACUUUGUGGAUUCCCCCUGUUUGUUCUGUGCCUACUCCCAAGCCCUACUGCAGUGGGACUGAGGCCAGGGAAGUCAGAAACCUUUGUCCCUAGUUGUCCUUAGCUGUUCAGCCUUACUGUUCAGACUCCUGUCUGUUUUUGCUGCUUUUAGUGUUGAUUUUAUAGAAUUAAUUUUUUUUUUGGGGGGGGGGUUUAGAAGAAUGAAAAAGCUUCAUAUCCACCAUCUUCCCACAAUGAUUCUUAUUUGAUUACAAAAAUAGUUUUUAAGAUCUUCCAGGAAUUUUUAUUUUGCUUAUGUCCAAUUCACAUUCCUUCCUCCCGCCCUGGAGUUUUGCUUGUAUGUUUUGUCAUCAUGUCUUCAUCCAAGAUUCUCUUGAUCUUCCUUAUCACCAUAGUCGAUUGUUAUGGUCAUGUUCUUUCUUCCUUGUUUGAUCAUUUUCCUCAGCCUAUUCUUGGUUUUGAACUUAUGUUAAAAUUGAGCUCUGCUCCGUGUGUGUGUGUGUGUGUGUGUGUGUGUGUGUGUGUGUGUAUGUGCGUGUGUGUGUAUUUAAACUUUCAGACUUUUUUGAACUUCUGUUUUCAGAUUUCAUUCUGACAGUGUGGAAGUUUUUGAUGUUUCUAAGGUAAUGUAAUCCAGUGUUAGGUGUGGUCACUGCUUCAUUUUUUUUUUACUCCUUUGCCUUCUGAGCAAAAACAUUUUUUUUUCUCUUCCAACUAUAAAAAGAAGUGGAUAUAAGCAGUGGAGUUUUCAAGCAUUUGGUCCUGCACCUAGUGCUAGCACAGGGGCUCCUUGUAACCUUUUUCUGACCAUUUGCUCAUUCCCCUUACUAUUUCUGGCUUGAGAGUUCCCUGAACUGAUGCUGCUCCCACCACUGGUGUUGUGUUCACAUGGGCUUUGGGCCACUUUUCACCCCCAUGCCACAGAUCUUUCCUUUAGACUUCCUAUGUUGUCUUAGUUUGGAAGAGUUUCACUGACAUUUUGACAACUCUGCUGGUCCAGAAUUUAACUUGAGGUACUAUUUUAAAGUUGUUUCAAGAAUAAUAUUGAGAGACAGUCUCUCUGUUCUGCAGUCCUUGUCUUCCCCUCCUCAUUUCUUGAUGUUUCAAUUCUGUUUUUCUUUCAAGGCUCAGAUCAGAUGCUACCUUUAUCCUGGAGCCUACCCAGAUCUCCCUAUCUGGUUUCCUGAAAGUUUGUGUCUUCCUAUAAUUCUCAUUACUUUCUAAUAUCUAAUACUUUCAAAAUAGUUUCUUGUGUUCCUUUCUUCUUCUCAGAGUGUAAACACAUUGAAGGCAUGAAUAAGGAAUACCAUAUAUGUCUUUAAGCACAGUGUCUAUCAUCUUAAUAAAAACUUAUUGUGGUUUCACUCAUAGAAUUUCUGAGCUAAAAGGGAUUUUAGAGUUCCCCUUUCUCUUCUUCUCACUCUUAGACUCAGAAAGAGUUAGAUUCAAGACUCCUCAUUAUAUUGUCUGCAUGUCCAUGAGCAAGUCACUUAAUGUCUCAUUACCUCUGAUGUCAUAUGCUCUAUGACUUGUUAUAUUAGAACUCUAUCCUCAAUGCUAUUAAACUGUAUAUACACUUUGAACUAGCAAUACUGUUACUAUGUCUAUUCCCCAAGGAAAUCAAUGAAAGAAAAAAAGAACUCAUGUGUACACGAAUAUUUAUAGCUGUUUUUAUAUAGUAGCAAAGAAUUGAAAACUGAGGAAAUGCCCAUAAAUUAGGGAAUAGCUGAACAAGUUAUAGUAUAUGAAUGUAAUGGAAUACUAGUGCUGUAACAAAUGAUGGAGGGUAUGACCUCAGAAAAACCUGUGAAGGUUGGCAUAAACUGAUGCAAAGGGAAUUGAGAAGAACCAAGGGAAUAUUCUACAUAGUAACAACAGUAUUAUGAAGAUUAUUAACUUUGAAAGGUUUGGGAAUGCUGAUAAAUAUAAUGCUCUACCCAAAAAAGGCUUAUGAUAAAACUUCUAUCUACCUCCAGAUGGAGAAACUGGUAGACUCAGAAUGCAGAUUAUAGCUUAUAUUUUUUCUAUUUCUUCACCAGGAAUAGAGUGGAAAUAUUGAUAUUUACAGGGAAAUAAUUUUAAACUAAAUAAAGAAAUAAAAACUCUGCUGUAAAAUAAAAAUAGUAACAAAUGGCAAAUUAAGAAAUAAUCAAAAGGUAAAAAUAUUUUUAUAUUUACUAAAAUCUGCUCCUCCCCUCCACCAAUGAAACUGAGUUCUAUGGAAGAGAAAGACUUGUUGAAGGUACAGCAAGGAAUUAGUGAAAGAAACUAGUCUAGAACCCAGGGUUCCUCUUUCCCAAGUCCAAGUCUCCCUUUUAUUCUCUCUCCUCUUUUUGUUCUGUCCUUUCCAUUUGUCUUGUCUCUUCUCUUUCCUAUAUUCCUAUAUGCAGAAGAAAAGAGGCAGGUCUAGACCUGGAGCAGAAGUGAAUUAGAUCUAAAAAAAAAGGAAUUAAAUCAAUAUUUGUUCCAAAAGAUAUUUUAAUGAGGAUAGGAUGGGGGAGGGAUAUGUUUGGAAAGCAAAGUGAUAUAAAAACAAGAGAUUUAUGUUUCAGUAUGUAGCUUUAGACAAGGGAGUUAGGAAGAAUCAUUAUAAUAAUCACAUUUGUAGAGCUCUAGGUUCCUGGCAUUGUGCUAAGCACAUUAUAAUUAUUAUCUGAUUUGAUCUUCAAAACAAGCCUGAGAAGGUGAUGCCAUUUUUAUUCCCAUUUUAUAGAUGUGGAAAUGGAAGUAAAGAGAAGUUAAAUAUCUUGAGGUCAAAUUUGAAUUUGCAUCCUCUUUGCUCAAGUCUAGUGCCCUGUCCUUUGUGCCAUUUAGCUGACAGUGGGAAGGAGUUAGACUUGGGGGAUAAGAACAAGUAGAACAGAGCACCACUUCAUUGAUUCACUGAUUAAUUAUUUCAUUCAUUCCCCAAUCUACAUCCUAAGUUUGCUCAUCUGACUUUAUAUCUAUCUACUCCCUCUUGUCAAGUUGCAUAGAAUAUGCACCUUAGGGAAUGUAUAUGUGAAUAUGUUCAUAGGAAAGUAAUUUCUGAAUAGUGUGCUCUAAGUCAUUCAUUUUUACCUCUCACUGAAUGGACUUCCCUUUCAAAGAAACUCCUUUUAGUUACCUGCCAGAUUUCUUGUCUUUUCCCAUUGAUUGAUAUUGUUUUUCUUUCUUGAUAGCCCCUGAUGCAGCAAACUAGAUUUAGCAGUAGAAGUGUCUAAAGAUUAUUGAAUCCAUCUAAUUUUUUUUUCUACUCAAAACUAUGAUUUCAAUAUUACAGGAAACUCCCUGUGAGGAAACUCCCCCCAGAUAUAGAUUAGCACCUGCUUUGAAAUUUAGUCUUACAGAGUUGCCCAGGGCACUGAGAGGUUAAAUAGCUUGAUCAGGUGGUAUGUGUCAGUCUAGACUUGAACCUGUCUUCUUUGAUUCUGAGAUUAAUUCUCACCUUCAAAUCAAAGGCUUAAGGCUAAAAAAAAAUGAAGCUCAGAGAAGUCCAACAGUCCUCAAAGAGUAAGGAAGUAGUGUUGGGAUACAAAUCCUCAGGUCAUCUGACUCCCGAGCAUCCCACAGAGGCUCAAAGUACCCUGCUUUCCCAAUAGAACUCAGCAUCUACUGCCUUAGCUCUUCUUCCCUCCAGAGCCCUAUAUGAAAACUCUUUCAAAGGAGGGAAAUGGGGUAGGUUUUCAUGCCCUCUAGUGUUCAGAUCAGAACUCUGCACCUAGUGAAUCACUUUAGAGCAGCUGUACUGUUACUGGAUCCCUCUGAUGGAGGAAAGAUGCUGAAGGGAAUAGAGGAGAAAGAAAAUCUCUUAAGAUUAUGGACCAACAAGAGAUUUAAAGCCUUAAAUCCUCAGGGUAAAGGGUCAUUGACAUGAGGUAGUCUCCAAUAGUGCUGACCUCUCUGUCACAUACAUGGAUGGUGACAAAAAUGGAGGAAACACGAACAUAUUAGGAUACACAUCCCAGGCAUCCUGAUCAUCAUCCCAACUCUGCCCCUACCUAGUAUAUAUGUGUUCCCUACCUCUACUUCUUAAGAAUCUCCACCCUUUUUAAGGGCAACUAUGUGGCACAGGAGAUAUAAUGUAUGAGGUCUGGAGUCACAAAGACUCAUCUUCCAGAGUUGAAAUCUGGCCUCCGAUGCUUACUACCUAUGUGACUGGGCAAGUCACUUAACUCUGCCUUAGUUUCCUCAUCUAUAAAAUGAGCUAGAGAAGGAAAUAGCAACUACUUCAGUAUCUUUGUUGGGGUUGCAAAGACUUGGAUGUGGCUGAAUUGACUAAACAACAACCAAAAGCCCCUGUUAGAGAUUAACUCAAGAACCAUUUCCUGCCUGAGACUUUCUCUGAUCCCUCUAGUCACUAGUUUCCUUCCUCCCCAUUUCAUUUUUUGUAUUGUAUAUACUUAUAUGGACACAUUGUCUCUUCCAAUAGAACCUAAAGUUCCUUGAGGACAAAAUCUAACUCAUUUUUAUCAUCCUAUCCCCAGCAACCAGAACAGUGCCUGACACACAGUAGGCACCUUAAUAAAUGCUUAUGGAUUGGUUUUGUUAGAUGAUUCACAUAUUGUGGUGUCAUGUCUGUGGGAUGGACUGGUGGUCAAGAAUAGAGUUCUAGAAGAAACCACUAGAACAUUCCACUGUUUCUCAUCACCUCCAAAUUACUUUGAAUUAAUUUUAUGUUUAUGUUUAUAUUUAUUUAUUUAUUAUUUAUUUAGUUGCAAAUGGUCCACCUACUCCAAUAGGAUAAAAAGCUCUCUAAAGAUGGGGGUGGUUUUAUCUUUUGGUACAUUCAAAUUCUAGCAAUGUGUGUGAUUAAGAGUAGAUGCUCAGUAUAUGCUCGUUGAUUGAUUGACAACCUGAAUGAUACUCUUAAUCAGAAGAAGAAUGGGGAGAUUGAGGAGAAAGGGAAAAACAAAGAAGAGAAAGCAACUUCCAUAGGUAGUCACUCCUUCCCACUACACCCCCCCCCAUGUUGUUUCUCACCACACCCACUUAUCUAUACCCAGUACUUAACUGCAUCACAUAUCUCUACAAGAUCUUUAUCUGUCCCGUGUUGAGGGCAAGUUUUCCCCAGAGUCUUACUCCUCGCAGGGAAAAAGGAGUUUUCCAUGUGGUCAUUGCGUCAUAAGUAACUUCCUUUCCUUUUGUGAGUCCCCCCACCCCUGCAGGGAUGGGCAGGGAAAACCCCAAGUGCUGUAUAUAAAUACUCCAGACCUGGGGAGAUGGAGAGCCAGCAGAACUUGAAGGUUCAUCAUCUUCAGAAGCCACAGCUCACUCCAAGAUGCGGUACUCCACCAUAAUUCUGGGAUGUCUGCUUGUAAUGCUGAAUUUGGAAGAUGGUCUAAGCAAGAGUUUGGUUAAUUCGGAGACGACCUGCUGCUAUGAAUUCCAGCUGAGAAAGUGUGCAUACUCACACAUCAAAAGCUAUGAGCUCACUAGCUCCUCCUGCUCCUACAAGGCUGUGAUAUUUACUCUGAAGAAGGGCCAAAAAAUCUGUGUACAUCUUGAAGAAAAAUGGGCUCAGAAUUACUUGAAUAAACUGAAGAAGAGUUCAAUUAAAACACACAUUUGAGGGCUACUUCUAACCAGAAGACUAUCUCGAUUCCACCAGUUGCCAUUAUACUCCCCCUUCAUUUGUAAAUAUUGUGUAUUUAAUUGUCUAUGUCCAUGUUAUGUGUAAGCUCCAUGAGGAGAGGGAAGGCUUCCUCUCCUUUUUUUGUUUUGUAUCCCCAGCACCAGUUUCACUGUCUGGUAUGAGAAAAUUGAGAAAUCUUUGUUGAAUUGAAAGUGGACUUCCAACAAAGAAUGAAGAUAUCUGGGCAUCCUAAAGCCCUGUUUAUUCACCAGCCCCUUACUGAUUGUUUUGCCAGACUCUGAAGUUUAGCCUGGGUCUCAAUAAGCUAUUAUUGUGUCUUAUUUAUUGGGGGGGGGGAACCUCCAGUUUCUGUAACCUGUUUAUUAUGUGGACUCUACUUGCAAAUAGAGAUGAAGCCUCAUUUGGCUUAUGACUGGGUGUCAUAAGGCAUCAUGGACUUGUUUGACUUGGAAUAAAUAUAACUUAUCUAAA